rnacentral:rRNA from 1 species
UACGAAGGGGGCGAGCGUUGUUCGGAUUUACUGGGCGUAAAGGGCGCGCAGGCGGUUCUGUUUGUCGAGUGUGAAAGCCCCGGGCUCAACCUGGGAACUGCGCUCGAAACGGCGGAACUAGAGUUCGGGAGAGGAGAGUGGAAUUCCCAGUGUAGAGGUGAAAUUCGUAGAUAUUGGGAAGAACACCGGUGGCGAAGGCGGCCUGCUGGGCAGUUGCUGACGCUGAGGCGCGACAGCGUGGGGAGCAAACAGG